rnacentral:rRNA from 1 species
CCCUGUGGGAAGCAGGAGGGACCACCCUCCAAGGCUAAAUACUACCUAGUGACCGAUAGCGUAUAGUACCGUGAGGGAAAGGUGAAAAGAACCCCGGGCGGGGAGUGAAAUAGAACCUGAAACCCUGUACUUACAAGCUGUGGAAGCACAUUUCUUGUGUGACCGCGUACUUUUUGUAGAACGGGCCAACGAGUUACGUUAAGUAGCAAGGUUAAGCACUUAAGGU